GCGAGAAUGGUGGAACUGGUAGACACGCAAGCUUGAGGUGCUUGUGGCCGCACAGGCUGUGGGGGUUCGAGUCCCCCUUCUCGCA
rnacentral:tRNA from 1 species